rnacentral:rRNA from 1 species
UACGUAGGUGGCAAGCGUUGUCCGGACUGACUGGGCGUAAAGCGUGCGCAGGCGGUUCUGAAAGUCAGCUGUGAAAGCCCCGGGCUUAACCUGGGAAUGGCGGUUGAAACUACAGGACUAGAAUCUGGCAGAGGGGGGUGGAAUUCCACGUGUAGCAGUGAAAUGCGUAGAGAUGUGGAGGAACACCGAUGGCGAAGGCAGCCCCCUGGGCUGAGAUUGACGCUCAGGCACGAAAGCGUGGGGAGCAAACAGG